rnacentral:rRNA from 1 species
AUCUACAACCAUUCCACCCUGCACAUUCCCAAUCUCCUCUGAUCUUGGAAGCCAAGAAGGGUUGGACCUGGUUAGUUUUUGGAUGGGAAUCCAAGACACUCAGAUC